AGCCCUUGGCUCAAUGGUUAGAGCGUUUGACUUCCAAUCAAACAGUUGUGGUUUCAAUCCGUGGGUGCUG
rnacentral:tRNA from 1 species